rnacentral:rRNA from 1 species
GUGGGGAAUAUUGCGCAAUGGGCGGAAGCCUGACGCAGCGACGCCGCGUGGGGGAUGACGGCCUUCGGGUUGUAAACCUCUUUCGACCUUGACGAAGCCUUUCGGGGUGACGGUAGGGGUAGAAGAAGCACCGGCCAACUACGUGCCAGCAGCCGCGGUAAUACGUAGGGUGCGAGCGUUGUCCGGAAUUAUUGGGCGUAAAGAGCUCGUAGGCGGUCUGUCGCGUCGGUCGUGAAAACUUGGGGCUUAACCCUGAGCUUGCGGUCGAUACGGGCAUGACUUGAGUUCGGCAGGGGAGACUGGAAUUCCUGGUGUAGCGGUGAAAUGCGCAGAUAUCAGGAGGAACACCGGUGGCGAAGGCGGGUCUCUGGGCCGAUACUGACGCUGAGGAGCGAAAGCGUGGGGAGCGAACAGGAUUAGAAACCCUAGUAGUCC